UACGAAGGGUGCAAGCGUUACUCGGAAUUACUGGGCGUAAAGCGUGCGUAGGUGGUUCGUUAAGUCUGUCGUGAAAGCCCCCGGGCUCAACCUGGGAAUGGCGAUGGAUACUGGCGGGCUAGAGUGCGGUAGAGGAGAGUGGAAUUCCCGGUGUAGCAGUGAAAUGCGUAGAGAUCGGGAGGAACAUCAGUUGCGAAGGCGGCUCUCUGGACCAGCACUGACACUGAGGCACGAAAGCGUGGGGAGCAAACAGG
rnacentral:rRNA from 1 species